CAAUGCUGGAACAACCUGUUUUUUGAAGUAUAAAUAAUGUGGAAUAUGAAAUAAAACAAUUAUACCCAGUUUAUUCAAUCUCCAUAUUCAUCACUCUGAAGACAUCAGUUUCCUUUAAAGCAGAGAGAAAUUACAACAAGAUACACUUCACACUUGCCAUUUACAGCUGAGAUAACCUCAGGCAAUGCUUCAACCUCGAGAUGACAGCAAAAUAAUACAUAAAAAAAGACAACUUUUAUAUAAAUAAUACUACUAAAUUUAAUCUCUACCUCUGAACUCAAAACUUUUAAGUCUAGUUACUCAUUGUUCUUAGCUAAUUAACACUGAUCAAAGAACAAUUAUACAAACUGUUUAUGGUUAAUAAA